GUAGAUGAACUCUUCCAAAAGGAACAGAACUACUCAGAUGAUGUAUUAUCCAACAUGGUCAGUGAACCCAGAAUCAGCUAUGGAAAUGAUGCUCUUAUGCCGUCUCUAACUGAGACCAAGACCACAGUGGAGCUUCUCCCUGUGGAUGGAGAGUUCAACGUUGAGGACCUUCAACCGUGGCAUCCAUUUGGUGUGGACUCUGUUCCAGCAAACACAGAGAACGAAGGUAAAAUUCAAACAUUUCUGGUUCUUGUGCAUGCUCACUAUUAUGUCAAUGCAUGUUCUAUCUGUUGUGUUAUGCAUGGUUUUUAUGAUACCCUAGCACCCAACCUCCAAAAUGCCAUUCUUAAAGCUUCUACUUUUACUUUCUACUUCUUGUUGGGUCCAAGCGCUUUUGUAUUUAGUUUUAUUUAUUAUAAUUAUCAGUCAUUAAGACUAGAUUAUAGGACACCGAAUUGUACAAGUCACAGUAAAUUAACGUGUAACAAAACAUGAACAUGUAAGAUAUGUUUUCAUCCAAAUGGAGUAGAGAAUUUUACUGUAAAAUCCUAAUGAUUUUAGGGAUCUGUAGUAUCGCCUGUGAGUAAGAAAAAUUAUCUAAAU